rnacentral:rRNA from 1 species
UGGGGAAUAUUGGACAAUGGGGGAAACCCUGAUCCAGCAGUGCCGCGUGAGUGAAGAAGGCCUUAGGGUUGUAAAGCUCUUUCGCCCGCGAAGAUAAUGACGGUAGCGGGAGAAGAAGCCCCGGCUAACUCCGUGCCAGCAGCCGCGGUAAUACGGAGGGGGCUAGCGUUGUUCGGAAUUACUGGGCGUAAAGCGUACGUAGGCGGAUGCGCAAGUUGGGGGUGAAAUCCCGGGGCUUAACCUCGGAAUUGCCCUCAAAACUGCACGUCUUGAGACCGAGAGAGGUAAGGGGAAUUCCUAGUGUAGAGGUGAAAUUCGUAGAUAUUAGGAAGAACACCAGUGGCGAAGGCGCCUUACUGGCUCGGUACUGACGCUGAGGUACGAAAGCGUGGGGAGCAAACA